GCCUGGUUGGCUCAGUCAGAAGAGCAUGAGACUCUUGAUCCCAUGGUUGUGAGCUCAAGCCCCACACUGGUA
rnacentral:tRNA from 1 species